rnacentral:pre_miRNA from 1 species
AGCUAGCUGCUGACAUGGAAGGUCUAGCUAGCUAGCUGCUGACAUGGAAGGUCGCUAGACCUUCCAUCUCAGCAGCUAGCUAGACCUUCAAUGUCAGCAGCUAGCUA